rnacentral:lncRNA from 1 species
AGAGAAUGAUGUUUCACUGGAUUUUUAGUAUUGAGAAUCUUUCGCAAAGCUGGCGUUUGAUUGCCUCUUAUCUUGUGUCUUUAAAGGUUAUAACUUCACUACAAGCUGAUCUUUUUUCUGGACCCAAUUGUAAACGGGAAGAUCUUUGGAGAUAUAAUGCUCUAGUUCUGAGUUUGUAAAUGGCUGGAAAUGGGAGAUUUAACUUAACUCCAGCUAGCAGUGACUCGGGUUUUGUUGGAAGCUACACCAAUGGGCCUAAGGGGAGCUAUAUGGGUCCCAGUAUGGACAGGUCUGGGAGCUUCAGAGAGAGUUCAGACACCCGUAUAUUUGGUUCUGGGAAGGGUGCAUCCCGGGGAACUGGUGCAGUCAUGGGUGAUUUGCCUUCCCUGUCACAAUGCCUGAUGCUGGAGCCAAUUGUAAUGAGUGACCAAAAAUAUACUCGCUCAGGCGAGUUAAGGAGAAUUUUGGGCUUUACUGUUGGGAGCACUUCAGAAAAUUCUUUUGGUGCUGCUCAUUUGAAGUCUUCACUUCAUUUUGGUGAUGAAUUAAAGAAGUUCAGAGAUAGUGUUGCAGAGUCGUGCAACAAAGCUAGGUACUUUUGUCCUCUUAAUUAAUAAACUAGUUUUCUUUGGACUAAUCAGCUCUGUUGCAUCCUUCUUCAUGGUUUUGUAUCUUUUCUUGCACUGAUCAGCACUCUCCUUCUCUUUCUUGUGUUUGUACUAAUUAAACAUCUUGAUGGCAUUCUUCCUUGAGUAUUGGAUAAACUUCGAUUGAAAGUUACCCUACCUUAAAGUCAAGUUGCAUUGCUGAGAUGCUGUUUUUUGUUUGGACUAGUGGUAGAGCUAAAAAGCUAGACGAACAAUUGCAUAAGCUGACAAAAUAUUCUGAAGGCAUACCUUCUAAGAAACAACAGAGGAAUGAGCAGUUAACAAAUGAGAGAUUAGGUGGUUCAAGAACACAGAUACAUCGAGGCCCUUCAGAUCUUGUAACACAGAAGACAGAGGAGCGGCCGAAGAAUAGUACUCUUAACAAGCGUGUACGCACAUCAGUGGCAGAAACUCGGGUUCGUAAUUGAUAUCAUGUUAUUUAAAUUUGUUGACCUUAGAUCAACUACUUUUCGUGACAAUUGUAUGCUCUAUCCAAGAAAAGGAGCUAUUUAUCAUGUUGAUAAGGCAGCAUAAUGUUCCAAAAUUAUUAUUUUCCCCUUAUAUGUUCUUCUGCAUAACCCACAUGGUAUAUAUAUUUUUUUCGAUAAGUAAUAACACAUAGGAUGAUGAAAAACUGCUCAUAGAGGAUUUUACUAAAUAACUUGUAGAACAAUGGUGUAGACCAUAAAAGAUAUAUCGGAGAACGAUGUAUCUUUGUGUUGGCUUUCUACAAUUUGGUAUACCUCGUGUAUGUGGUUUUUCUCCACAACAUCAAUAAAUUAUUUCUUGUAAAAAAGAGAACAUCAACAAAACAUUGCUUUCAUAAAAAAAAGGAAAUAUGGGAG